rnacentral:rRNA from 1 species
UGAAGCUGGAAUUGCUAGUAAUGGCAGGUCAGCAUACUGCCGUGAAUACGUUCCCGGGCCUUGUACACACCGCCCGUCACACCAUGAGAGUUGGAGAUACCCGAAGCCUGUGAGCUAACUUUUAGAGGCAGCAGUCGAAGGUAGAGCCAAUGAUUGGGGUGAAGUCGUAACAAGGUAAC